rnacentral:rRNA from 1 species
GCAAACAGGAUUAGAUACCCUGGUAGUCCACGCCGUAAACGAUGUCGAUUUGGAGGUUGUGCCCUUGAGGCGUGGCUUCCGGAGCUAACGCGUUAAAUCGACCGCCUGGGGAGUACGGCCGCAAGGUUAAAACUCAAAUGAAUUGACGGGGGCCCGCACAAGCGGUGGAGCAUGUGGUUUAAUUCGAUGCAACGCGAAGAACCUUACCUGGUCUUGACAUCCACAGAACUUUCCAGAGAUGGAUUGGUGCCUUCGGGAACUGUGAGACAGGUGCUGCAUGGCUGUCGUCAGCUCGUGUUGUGAAAUGUUGGGUUAAGUCCCGCAACAAAAACAACCCUUAUCCUUUGUUGCCAGCGGUUAGGCCGGGAACUCAAAGGAGACUGCCAGUGAUAAACUGGAGGAAGGUGGGGAUGACGUCAAGUCAUCAUGGCCCUUACGACCAGGGCUACACACGUGCUACAAUGGCAUAUACAAAGAGAAGCGACCUCGCGAGAGCAAGCGGACCUCAUAAAGUAUGUCGUAGUCCGGAUUGGAGUCUGCAACUCGACUCCAUGAAGUCGGAAGAGCUAGUAAUCGUAGAUCAGAAUGCUACGGUGAAUACGUUCCCGGGCCUUGUACACACCGCCCGUCACUCUAUGAGGGUGGGUUGCAAAAGAAGUAGGUAGCUUAACCUUCGUUUAGAAGGAUACCACUUUGUGAUUCAUGA